CUCUUCUUUAGCAGCCCAAGUUACAAAGGCUUGCCAGAUCCUAUAGUACAUAGAGUAUGUUGAGCAUUUGUGAACCUUUGAUAAGAUGCUGAUUAACGAUUCUGGUAUACCUAGAUUCAAUAGAGAACCCCACUCAACCUCCACACCAUAAAUUGAAGGGAACUAAGGUCUGAAUGUAGUAGUGGUUCCUGAUCAGUAGAUCUUGUAGAAUUGUCAGUUCCCUGGAAGUUUCCCACCAUAUCCGAAGUGCUAUAAGUAAACCAAGUUUCCCACCAUAUCCGUAUUGCUAUAAGAAAAACAUCUCGGUCAAUAAGGUUUGAUCCCAAUCGCCUCUAUUUUCUCUUUUUGAAUGUUUCUUAUGGUUCUAAUUAUUAGCGAUAUUGGAGGUAAUAAGCAAGCUGAAAAUUCCAUUGUUCAGACAGAGUAUCC